rnacentral:rRNA from 1 species
GACGAACGCUGGCGGCGUGCUUAAUACAUGCAAGUCGAACGGAGUGGCGAACGGGUGAGUAACACGUGGGUGACCUGCCCUGCACUUCGCCAUAAGCCUGGGAAACUGGGUCUAAUACCGGUUAGUGUGGGAUGGGCCCGCGGGCUAUCAGCUUGUUGGUGGGGUAAUGGCCUACCAAGGCGGCGACGGGUAGCCGGCCUGGGAGGGUGGACGGCCCCAUUGGGACUGAGGGACGGCGCAGACGGCUACGGUAGGCAGUGGAGGGGAGUAUUGCAGAAUGGGCGGGAGUCAGAUGCAGCGACGCCGGGUGCGGGAUGACGGCGUUCGGGUUGUGAACUCGUUUCGCGAUCGACGCGGUAGAUGGGGAAGAAGCACCGGCUAACUACGUGCCAGCCGCCGCGGUAAUAC